rnacentral:rRNA from 1 species
AUUGAACGCUGGCGGCAUGCUUUACACAUGCAAGUCGAACGGCAGCACGGACUUCGGUCUGGUGGCGAGUGGCGAACGGGUGAGUAAUACAUCGGAACGUGCCCAGUUGUGGGGGAUAACUACUCGAAAGAGUAGCUAAUACCGCAUGAGAACUGAGGUUGAAAGCAGGGGAUCGUAAGACCUUGCGCAACUGGAGCGGCCGAUGGCAGAUUAGGUAGUUGGUGGGAUAAAAGCUUAACAAGCCGACGAUCUGUAGCUGGUCUGAGAGGACGACCAGCCACACUGGGACUGGGACACGGCCCAGACUCCUACGGGAGGCAGCAGUGGGGAAUUUUUGACAAUGGGCGAAAGCCUGAUCCAGCAAUGCCGCGUGCAGGAUGAAGGCCUUCGGGUUGUAAACUGCUUUUGUACGGAACGAAAAGCUUCGGGUUAAUACCCUGGAGUCAUGACGGUACCGUAAGAAUAAGCACCGGCUAACUACGUGCCAGCAGCCGCAGUAACAC